rnacentral:tRNA from 1 species
GGGGAAGUGGUGAAAUUGGCAGACACGCCUGCCUCAAAAGCAGGUGCCGCAAGGCGUGUGGGUUCGAAUCCCACCUUCCCUACCA